UCCACAGUUAGACAAACUGUCUAUAAAUGGAGAUGAUAUAGUACUAUAGGUACUCUCUCUAGAAGUGGCCGUUAGAUAUUCAUCUGUCCACAGUGAGACAAACUGUCUAUAAAUGGAGAUGAUUUAGUACUAUAGGUACUCUCACUAGAAGUGGCCGUUAGAUAUUCAUCCGUCCACAGUGAGACAAACUGUCUAUAAAUGGAGAUGAUUUAGUACUAUAGGUACUCUCACUAGAAGUGGCCGUUAGAUAUUCAUCUGUCCACAGUUAGACAAACUGUCUAUAAAUGGAGAUGAUUUAGUACUAUAGGUACUCUCACUAGAAGUGGCCGUUAGAUAUUCAUCUGUUCACAGUUAGACAAACUGUCUAUAAAUGGAGAUGAUUUAGUACUAUAGGUACUCUCACUAGAAGUGGCCGUUAGAUAUUCAUCUGUCCACAGUUAGACAAACUGUCUAUAAAUGGAGAUGAUUUAGUACUAUAGGUACUCUCACUAGAAGUGGCCGUUAGAUAUUCAUCUGUUCACAGUUAGACAAACUGUCUAUAAAUGGAGAUGAUUUAGUACUAUAGGUACUCUCACUAGAAGUGGCCGUUAGAUAUUCAUCUGUUCACAGUUAGACAAACUGUCUAUAAAUGGAGAUGAUUUAGUACUAUAGG